UUUUAAAUCCACUUUGUGUGGACCCCACUCAGAUUUUUCACCAAUAAACACCAUUUAACUCAUCAUCAAUCCUAUUAAUCAGAUUUUUAUCACUUUUCUCUCUCUUUCUCACUUAACCCUCCUUCUUCCUCCAUUACUUUUCAUUUUUCUCCAUAGCCUUCACCAUCAAAGCUCAUUCCUUUAACAUCAUAAACCGUCCAAAUCACCGACUCCCUUCACGAAAGCUGCUCCAUUUUCC
rnacentral:lncRNA from 1 species